rnacentral:misc_RNA from 1 species
AGACCAUUGAUUAAGCUCAAUCAAUGUACAAAUGAGUUAAUAAUAAAGUAAAAACAGGUUUGAAAUUUUGGAUUGGAAGUUAAAAAACCUUUGAUCGUGAGGAAAAGGAAUUGCUAAAAAGAAGAAAAAGAGUAUACACACUGGCCGUUGCAAAGAAAAAUCAGGUUUGACGACGAGCAUGAAUUUGCUUCAUAAAAAUGGUCAACUCGGACUCCGACUACAACCGCAACGAGGCGCUGGGGAAAGUGAGAAAAAGCAUAACAGGUAAACUUAAGGGCAACUUGAACCUGAAAUUCAACACCUCACUUGAAAACUGCCAGAAGAUAUUGUACAUUUUGUAUUUUCCUAAAUAUACUUCAUUCCCGAGAUAUAUUGCUGUCUAGAGAUUAUAGACUGGGCUACGGUAUAAAUAAUUCCUAAGAUCCCCAAUAUCUUAAUUUUAAUCACGUCUGAUAUUAUGAUGGAUGGAACAUUAAGGGGCACAGUUAUCAGUGGCGUCGAGUCUCUCUGCUUUGUGUAACUCCACACGAAUCUGUUGAAGAGGAUAUGACUGGGGAACGUUAGAAUGAGAAGGGCUAGAUUCUUUACUGCAAAGAACCAAUCAGGACCCCCGAUCUCAAUGCCCCACCCAGUAUUUCCAUGCCACACAUCUUCCCAUAUGCUGUAUAGGGCCGUCAACACCAAAUAGGAUGAUAUAGCCACUACAACAGGGAAAUACCUCUGUUUGUCCCCAAAACCAGCGACAAAAUCAGAGUCCUGAUUCAGAAGCAGCAACAGAGGAGCAAGGAAGAAUAUUGCUUGAUUUGAACCCCCAGUCAGAUUGACAUUCAGGAUCAGGCAUAUAGUAAAGCACAAUAUUGUAGCAACAUUACCAACUGCAGGCAUCCAGGCUCCCUCAGCAGCCAUUUUCUUGAUUGUGAAGGUUGGCACGGUGGAGGCCCUGCGCUGCUGCAUGAACCUCAUCCGCGGAGCAAAACUUGCAGAACUGCUUUCACUAGAUUGGCUAUGUCUAAUUCCACCCCUUUCAAGAACCUUUUCCUGCAUAAGCCAUGCUAGUUCAAACUUAAUCUCCAAUGCUAUGAGCAUAAAGAUUGCUGCAUAUAAACCAAGAAGAGAGGUCCUUGCUCCCUCAACAGCCAGCAGAGCUGUAAGCUUCCUAUCUUCUUCCACCAUAUCUGCAUCUUGACCAUCCUCAAGGAUGCCUUUGAUUCUAACCUGACCUUCCAACAGAUAUGUCACAGGAAAGAGAGCUACGAGUAGAGCAAAUACCCAUGGUAGCAGCUUUGUGCUUGAAGCAGAUGGAAAAUGGGUGAAGACAACAAACACACAAGUGCAGACCAUGGUGACAACAAUGAGAGCAUGCAGAACUGCAGCUUGCAGGAAGUACUUGGCUGAUAUAUAUAUUCCAAGAGCAACCCCAAUAGCGAUUGAGUAAAAUGCCCUUAGCUCUACCAUGUACUUUAUGGGUAUGAUAGACGUCACAGCUGCUAAAGUGAGUAGAAUUGCCACGAUAAGCAGCCAAGAUGGCCAAGUAGGUUUUGAUGCAAUGAAGCCAUAGAUGGAGAUGUCAUCAGAAGAUUGACGAGCUGCUUUAAUUAUGUCAGAAUGAUAAGUCCAUGCCAAUGGGAUUGGCGGCUGCAUUAAAAUAAACAAUGCACCAGUUGCCACCACUAGCACUAGGCAUCUCUUAGCGGACAAGACAUGAGAGAAGUGCAGAGCAACGAUUGGUACACAAGCCAAUCCUGUCAAGACAAUACAGAAGCCCAAAAGUAAACCAUCAGAAGGAGGCCUCCCAUUCCACCAUUGUAGAGCUUCAAAAAUGGUUUCACGGCAAAACCAAACUGACAGAGCAACCACACCAGCAUGUACAUAACCUUGCCAUGGUUUCAUCUUUGAGGCUGUUCGCGACUUAUCCUUGUAAAGAAGUAAUGGGGGAGAGACAGCCAGUAAUAGUACAGCAGAAACCCAUACAACAGAUUUUGAUGAAAUAAACAGCAUGGCCAACUUCGAAGGAUAUAGGCAUGUCAAAAUCCAAACUGCCUUGAGUCUAAUUCGAUGAUCCACAGAUAGUCUUCUCACCAAAGCCAAACCAACAAAAGUUGUCAUAAUAACCAUAUAGCUUGGGUACAUCACUUCAUCAUCCAAUCCGUAGAAGUAUAUGCCCAAGUUAUUAAAAAAUCGAUUCUCAAUAUAGCAUAACAGCAACGCAUGGCUGAUCAAGCCAAGCUCAACUAAAAAAUGAAAUUUUGAUGGAAGAAGAGCUAAACCAGGAACAGCCAUGGCUAGGAUGACACUUGCAACUAUGAGUUUGCAAAAGGACUUUAUGGACAUGCCUGCCAGCCAAAUAUUUAGAUCCCAGUAAUUAUGCAGUACAAACCAUAUGACCAUCAAGCUCCCAAGCACAGCAAAAGCAAAGUAUGAUGACAGGCUUUUCUUUGUGAAGAAACGAGCCAAAUAAAAGCCAGCAACUGAAGGCAGUGGGAGGAACAACAUGGGAAAUCCCACAACGAUUGCUCCUGCAGCACUGACAAUUACAUUCAAAGCUGUGAAAGCCACAGAGCUGAAAGCAUCAGAAAUCAUACCCAGAGCAUAAGCACCAGCUCCAGCUGCCCCUCCAAGCAUUGUCAGGGUCACAAGAAGAUAAUUCAACGGUGGAGGAACCUGAAUGUACCUCCCAAAUGAAUGGAAAACAACUCUAAUCUCCAAACAAAGCACGACGACAACCAAUGCAACAGCACCAUUUACAACACGUAUACUAUGCAGCUGAUGCGAAUUCUUAGUAACCCACCAAAGCGCGCCCCUUGUGGACGCAUAAAGUUGGAAUAAGAAAGGGAUGAAGAAGAGAAGAAACAAAUCACAAACAGAAGCGGCUGAAGAAAAUAUUACUGAAUAGUGAGACGCAAUAUGAAACACCAAAGGAAAGAAGAGCAAGUUUAAAGUAUGAACACAACUGUCGAGAUGAGUGAGUAUGAAAUUGUCAUCGGGAACCUCUCCACCGUGAUAUUUCGCUUCCUGUUUGGAUUUGAAGGAAGAGACCCGAGGAAUUGCAAAAAGCCAAUAGAAAAUGCAAUUGAAGGCCAUGAGAUAGUAAGAAGCAUUAUUCAUUCCAACGGCGGAGAUGGUGGCCCAGCUGAAGAGGGCUGAAGCGGUGAAAGGGACACAGGCAAACAACAGGCGCUCGAGAGCAAGGACGAUAGUGGGGUUCUCGAGCUGGAUCCACUUGAACUGGAGGGAAGCCCAUACUCCGAUUAGGAAAUUAGCGUAGGCGCAUAGGAAAGCAGCGAGGAGGCCGAGAGGGACAGAAUAGAAAGUGGUAAUGAGAGAGGAGCUGAAGAAGAAAGCGAUCUGAGCUGCGAUUAGCGAAAGCCAGACUCCGAAGAAUGCCGCGGACUUGAGGUUGAGGGAAUCCAGAAUGUAAGCGACCAUGAGGCCAAGGGUCAGGGUAGCCACAACGGGGGCCCCGCCGAGGUCGAGAAGGAAGGCAGCGCAGGGGACGAGAGCGAUGGCAAUUCUGGUGUUGUGAGCGAAUGAAGAAGGCAAGAAACGAGAUCUAGAAGAAGCGGAGGAGGAAGAAGAUGGGGAAUGGAAGUGGCUGUUAGGGUUUGGGUCAGGGGAGUAAGGGCGGCCAUUAUUGAAGGAAGAGAAAGAAGGGGCACUAGCAGAGGAUGCUAUAUAAGGUCGAAACGGUCGCGCUUGGAGCUCCGGCGAUAUCAUUUUCGCCGGAUUAGAUUGAGGAAGAGAGUUGCUGAAAGUCACAGCGGUCUGAUCGCAGGCGAUAGAGUGUGAUCAGGAAGAGGGAGAAGUAUUCAGAAUUCCGAACGGGUUUUGGAAACUGGUGACGUGGUUGGAG